rnacentral:snRNA from 1 species
GAUAUCAGGGCCAUCUGGCUGGGACACCUGUCACCUAUUGAUGGACAGCAUUGAUUUGGCUGACCUGGCUGGCUCGGCAGGUGUUCCCUUCCCUGAAGCUC